rnacentral:rRNA from 1 species
UACGGGGGAUGCAAGCGUUAUCCGGAAUCAUUGGGUUUAAAGGGUGCGUAGGCGGUUAGAUAAGUCAGAGGUGAAAGGUUGUCGCUUAACGAUAAAAUUGCCUUUGAUACUGUUUAACUUGAAUUAGGAUGAGGUAAGCGGAAUGCGUCAUGUAGCGGUGAAAUGCAUAGAUAUGACGUAGAACACCGAUUGCGAAGGCAGCUUACUGGACCUUGAUUGACGCUGAGGCACGAAAGCGUGGGGAGCGAACAGG